GUAGUUAUAUUCAGACUUCAGAAUAGCUGUCAUGUUGGUUAAUCAAGCUAUAAAUCCAGCUUAGCUUUUAUUAUAUGUCCCCUUAAAUGAUGCAAGUCUAGUUUUGUUCUUCAGUUCCUGACACUGAGUGUAAAAUGAGAAGCAGUAUAUAUUCUCUAAGAACAACAGAAAUUAUCUGUAGUACUCUGUAUCACUUAUUUUGAUGGGACUUCACCCAUAUUUUUAGAAUCAAGAAAUCAAUUCACUUUUUUUUCAUUUUAUUUUUUCUCUUGUUAUCUC
rnacentral:lncRNA from 1 species